rnacentral:rRNA from 1 species
AGAACGAACGCUGGCGGCAUGCCUAACACAUGCAAGUCGAACGAGACCUUCGGGUCUAGUGGCGCACGGGUGCGUAACGCGUGGGAAUCUGCCCUUGGGUUCGGGAUAACAGUUGGAAACGACUGCUAAUACCGGAUGAUGUCUUCGGACCAAAGAUUUAUCGCCCAGGGAUGAGCCCGCGUAGGAUUAGCUAGUUGGUGAGGUAAGAGCUCACCAAGGCGACGAUCCUUAGCUGGUCUGAGAGAUGAUCAGCCACACUGGGACUGAGACACCGGCCCAGACUCCGUACGGGAGGCAGCAGGUGGGGAAUAUGGACAAGUGGGACGAAACGCCUAGGAUCCGAGACAAUGGACCGCGACGAGUCGAGUGGAAGGUCCUUAAGGGUUGUAAAGCUUACGUUUUACCCGGGAUACGAUAUGACGUAGUAACCGGAGAAAGUAACGACCCCGGACUAACCGUCCGUAGCCA